GCGGGGUAUAGCUCAGUGGAAGAGCAAUUGAUUGUAGAUCGAGAGGUCCACUGUCUUUUUCAAACCCGGGUGUCCGCU